rnacentral:rRNA from 1 species
ACAUGCAAGUCGAGCGAAUGAUGAGGAGCUUGCUCCUCUGAUUUAGCGGCGGACGGGUGAGUAACACGUGGGUAAUCUGCCUGUAAGACGGGGAUAACUCCGGGAAACCGGGGCUAAUACCGGAUAACAAGAGAAGAUGCAUAUCUUCUUUUUGAAAGUCGGUUUCGGCUGACACUUACAGAUGAGCCCGCGGCGCAUUAGCUAGUUGGUGAGGUAACGGCUCACCAAGGCGACGAUGCGUAGCCGACCUGAGAGGGUGAUCGGCCACACUGGGACUGAGACACGGCCCAGACUCCUACGGGAGGCAGCAGUAGGGAAUCUUCGGCAAUGGGCGAAAGCCUGACCGAGCAACGCCGCGUGAGCGAUGAAGGCCUUCGGGUCGUAAAGCUCUGUUGUUAGAGAAGAACAAGUACGAGAGUAACUGCUCGUACCUUGACGGUACCUAACCAGAAAGCCACGGCUAACUACGUGCCAGCAGCCGCGGUAAUACGUAGGUGGCAAGCGUUAUCCGGAAUUAUUGGGCGUAAAGCGCGCGCAGGCGG